GUUCUAGUUCGUCUAAUCAGAAAGGAAACAUAGCAAGGGUUUCAAUCUCUCUCUCUCUCUCUCUCUCUCUCUUUCUCUCUAAUGAUGAAGGCCGAAUCAAUUACUAAGGGUUACUAGGCUCAUCUUAUCUCUUCUCUUCGGUUGUGUAUCUAAAAUCAAAGGUAUCUAUCAUCGUCUCGUUCUUCUCUUCUCUUCUUAGUUGUGUAUUUGAGUUUGGUUGCUUUCUCAAGGUGUUCCAUUCGAAGCCAUGAAGCCAUGAAAGCUCCUCACUGUCAUUUUCUCGACAUCUGGGCCAUUUUCUUGGCUUCCAAACAAGCUUCCUUUCCACUACAAUGUCACUGUCACUUCUCUCUCUUAGUCCUCGACAUAGGCAGCGAACUCUCAUGGCUUAACUGCAAAAAACCCAAAAUUCCCAACUCGUAUUUGACUCAUGGCUUCACUCCAUUGUUUUUUUCCCAAUAAUUUCAACUUCUUAUUGGUUUUUUAAUGCACUUUUUAUUGGUUUUCUACACGAAUCAGAGUUGUUCGGUUUCUUAGCCAUGUAUUUGCUGCUUGUUGCUGUUUGAAAUUAUUAUUUUAUUAGGGCUACUUUUUUUUUCCCUUGGCAAUUGGAAACUAUUUUUAUAAUUAUUUUAUUUUAUUUUAAAGCCCACUUUUUAUUUCUAAAUGUGCUUUUGCCAAUUUCAUAUCUCAUUCUGUUUUCCUAUUGAUUUGGGGUUUUCGGGUUUUUGCAAAACAAGGUAGUCUUUCUUCCCUUUCAAUGCCCAUUUUAUUAUUUUAUUGUUUGAUGAUGUGCUUCAUGAGAAUUGUAGCUGGUUUUAUUAUUUUAUUGUUUUUCAAUGCCCAUUUUAUUAUUUUAUUAUUUGAUGAGGUUCAUAUAAAAUAAUUGCUUGGUGAUGAUGUGGCUAUUUGGUAGUAGUUGAAAUUGUUGUUGAAAAUCUAUUUGCCGUUGAGAUUGAACAAUCGCUAUUUUUUAGGAAUAGGUAUAUGAUGUCCUGUAUUCCUUGGCUUUAGUGUCUGCUUGUGCACCUGUAAGUCCCCAGGAAGUUGUUUUUGUAGUAAUUUGACUUGUUUAAUUUGGUUGACAUAUUCAAUUGUUGCAUUUUUUUUUAAUUCCUGACGAGUAUUUGGGAGAGCUUCUUUGGGCAUAUGGGCCACCACAUUUAUAGUGGUUGAUUUUUAUUUUAAGAUUUGACAUUUAUUUUUGAAUCCAAAGUUGAUCUGUUGUGUGAAUUGAAGAGUCGGCUACAGAUUUUGUGAAAACAAUAAAGGUUUUUUUUUCCCUCCACUUUUGUCCCCUUCACUUUUGCUUUUAUAGUUUUUUUUUCUUUUGUAUUUUGUUCUGAAAUUGACAAAUGAAAGUGGGUUGAGAUUCAAGUUAAAAGGUAUUCUUCAUGGUGGAACUCACACGAUUUUGGGGCGAAUUGUUUCUGCUGUGCUUUUUUCAUCAUGGGUAUUAUUUCAGAGUGAUUAAUAUUAUUUUUCCCCCCCACUUUUGUCCCCUCCAAGUACUUGUAGAAUGUUCUCUGCUCCAUGUUGUUCUUAGAAUGUUGUUAGGUGUCUAUUAAAUUGGGUGUCUGUUAGAAUGUUGUUGGAAAUUAUUUUCAUGUUAUAGGGAACAAUGGUUAGUGGGCUAUUUUUUUAUUCUUUUUUUCCCAUGGUAGUGGAGAGUUGUUAGGGAGGUAGAUCUAUUACAGGAAGGUUGUAUUCUAUGCUUAUAGAGUCUUGUGGUGUGCGGAGUGUUUGGUAGCUAAGAUCUCCUUAGCUACUUUUUGUAUCUUUUUUCUGUUUUUUUCCUGUGGUGUGUGGGUGCUAGUGCUCACAUUCAUCACCUUGUAUCUUUAUCUUCUUAUUUUAAUGAAGACUUCGUUGUUGAUAAAAAAAAAUGUUUUCAUAGAUAUUUUAUUUUAUUUUAAAAAUCACUUUUUUUUAUUUCUAAUUAAAUGUUUUGUUUUGCCCAUUUCAAAUCUCAUUCUUCUCUUUCAUUGAUUUGGGGUUUUGGAGUUUUUGCAAAACAAGGUGAGCAAACGGAACAUCAAGGUUAGAAGAGAAGCCUCGGAGUCUACCCCAUUGUCAGCAUUUUUGAAGAGCUUCCGAGGAGCAAGCUUGGGCUCGAGCGGAGUCAAGUAAAGUCAAAACACCUUUUUGUUUUUUUUGAAAUUUUGUUUUGGUACUUGUAUAUGGGGUUUUUGUUUAAUCUUGAAUUGUGGAGUUUUAAUGUAUGAAUCAGAUGUUUAGGACCUUUGUGAUGUAUGUAUAUAAAAUGGUUGCUCCGCUAUAAUAUGAGGUCUUUUUU